AGCCGAAACGCAAAUGGGCGUUGUCGCGGGUGGUUCCCGCGGCCUGACGAUGGCAGCCAACC
rnacentral:hammerhead_ribozyme from 1 species